rnacentral:rRNA from 1 species
AGGAACGAUCGGAGGGCAAGUCUGGUGCCAGCAGCCGCGGUAAUUCCAGCUCCAAUAGCGUACGUUAAAAGUUGCUGCAGUUAAAAAGCUCGUAGUUGAACGUUCGGGUUCCGCGGACGGGGCCGCCCCGCGAGGGACGGCGCCGCCCCGGGGCUCGUGAUAUCUUAUCUCGCCGCCCGUCGCGAGGCGGACGGAGGGAUGGAUGAGGUUACCUGGAAAAAAUCGGGGCGAUCUAGGCGGGCGAACCUCGCCAACGAACGAUCGGACAUGGGAUAACGGAAGAGGGCGUCGGCUCGACUUCGUCGGUUCCUCGGGCCGAGGCACCACGGUGAAUAGGGACGGUCGGGGCCGCCCGUACCGGGUCGUGAGAGGUGAAAUUCUAGGAUCGACCCGAGACGAACUGCCGCGAAAGCAUUCGGCAAGGACGCUUUCAUUAAUCAAGAACGAAAGUCGGGGG